UUCCUCAAGAGCAUGAACAGGAUGAACUCCGCCUCCUCCUGAUCACUCCACCACCAGCAGCAGCUAAAUUAACCGCGAGCCGUGCGAUGGAUGCGAGAUGAUCAGAGUGCUCAAGUAAUCAUGCUGAUGUGGCAGGCCUAUUAUUCACCUGUGCCGGGGGUAUUUCAGUAAUCUAAUAUUCACCUGUGAGAGUAUAUGCUGUAUCUCUGUUCUGUGAGUGUGUGUGACAGUGUGAGUGGAUGGGGAUGAAAAGGGUUUGAUCAGAUGGUUAUGGAUGCACCACGGGACUAUGGUUUGCUUCGAACUCUAGUUUAGUUGGUCACCCCGUG
rnacentral:lncRNA from 1 species